UAGAGUCUCAAGCUGUUGCCCUGGGUAGAGUGCCGUGGUGUCGUAACUCAUAGCAACCUCCAACUCUUGGGCUUAAGUGGACCUCUUGCCUCAGUUCUUCUAUUUUUAGUGGAGACAGCCUCAUUUUUGCUCAGGCUGUUCAUGAACUCGUGAACUCAAGCAAUCCACCUGCCUUGGCCUCCCAGGGUGCUAGGAUUACAGGCAUGAGCCACCAAGCCCAGCCUGACUAUAAGCUUUGAACACCUGGGUUCAAGUUCUAACUCAAUCUCUUCAAGAUUUUUUAUGUAAUUUAGGUUUUAUAACCAGAGAGAUUUGAAGAUGGUUAAUAUUUCUAAGCUACAGUCAUUUUCUCUGCAAAAUGAAGUUAGUAAUUCAACCUACCAUAUGGGAGAUAAUUGUAUGAGUAAGUGAGGUGACAAAUGCAAAAACUCAGAACUAUGCUUACGUAGUAAACAGACAAAAUAUGUUAACUAUUAUCAGUGUUGUUUUCUACCUGAAUAAAUAGAUAAAUGAAUUCUGUUGAAGAGAAAGUUUAUUAGAUUAUGUUUUUUGAAUCAAGAAUUCAGUUUCAGCUUUCAUUUCCGGCAUUGAUAUUGGGUGAAUAUGAUUCCUAUGUAGUACACAUAAUUGGCUGCUUUCCUGUGAGCUGUGAAAGUGGUUGUGCUAUUGAAUGGCACUGAUUGUGUCCCUGUUGAGUUCUACAGCAUUGUGACUGUUACAGGAAACUUGAUGAACAGGAAGUGCCUGAACAGAAUUGCUGUCUGCUUCGUAGCCCUGAAGGGUCAGAGACUGAAAAAUCAGAGAUGGCCCUGAUAAGUCUCAGCCUUCCAACCUGGGCAGCCCUUCUACUGGAAGUCUUACUUCCCUGCUCAGCAGAAAUCAAAAGAAUGUCUCAUUAUGGUGUUGCAUCCGAGAAUUGGAAUCACCAAGAGAGAGCUGGACACCAAUGCAAAUCACAUGAGGGCAUUUAUUCAGGCUCGAACCAAGGCUGUCGGCCUUCCCCCAGACGCAGCUGAAAUUUCAGAGUCAUCUCUGAUUCCAUGGCAGCCCCCACAUGAUAGAGUGGUGAAUUAAUUGUCAAACGUGGAAGAA